GACGAACGCUGGCGGCGUGCUUAACACAUGCAAGUCGAACGGUGAAGCUCCAGCUUGCUGGAGUGGAUCAGUGGCGAACGGGUGAGUAACACGUGAGCAACCUGCCCCAGACUCUGGAAUAAGCGCUGGAAACGGCGUCUAAUACUGGAUACGAGAUCAAGCCGCAUGGUUAUGGUCUGGAAAGUUUUUCGGUUUGGGAUGGGCUCGCGGCCUAUCAGCUUGUUGGUGAGGUAAUGGCUCACCAAGGCGACGACGGGUAGCCGGCCUGAGAGGGCGACCGGCCACACUGGGACUGAGACACGGCCCAGACUCCUACGGGAGGCAGCAGUGGGGAAUAUUGCACAAUGGGCGAAAGCCUGAUGCAGCGACGCCGCGUGAGGGAUGACGGCCUUCGGGUUGUAAACCUCUUUCAGCAGGGAAGAAGCGAAAGUGACGGUACCUGCAGAAGAAGCACCGGCUAACUACGUGCCAGCAGCCGCCGUAAAAC
rnacentral:rRNA from 1 species